UACGAAGGGGGCUAGCGUUGUUCGGAAUUACUGGGCGUAAAGCGCACGUAGGCGGAUAUUUAAGUCAGGGGUGAAAUCCCAGAGCUCAACUCUGGAACUGCCUUUGAUACUGGGUAUCUCGAGUAUGGAAGAGGUGAGUGGAAUUCCGAGUGUAGAGGUGAAAUUCGUAGAUAUUCGGAGGAACACCAGUGGCGAAGGCGGCUCACUGGUCCAUUACUGACGCUGAAACACGAAAGCUAGGGGAGCAAACAGG
rnacentral:rRNA from 1 species